rnacentral:rRNA from 1 species
UUACACAUGCAAGUCGAACGGUUACCGGUCUUCGGAUGCUGACGAGUGGCGAACGGGUGAGUAAUACCUCGGACCGUGCCCAGUAAUGGGGGAUAGCUCGGCGUAAUGCCGGAUUAAUACCGCAUACGCCCUGCAGGGGGAAAGUUGGGGGAUCUCAUUGACCUCACGUUAUUGGAGCGGCCGAUGGCUGAUUAGCUAGUUGGUAGGGUAAAGGCCUACCAAGGAUACGAUCACUACCUGGUCUGAUAGGACGAUCAGCCGCACUGGAACUGAGACACGGCCCACACUCCUACGGGAGGCAGCAGAGGGUAAUUUUGGACAAUGGGGGAAACCCUGAUCCAGCCAUGCCGCGUGUGCAAAGAAUGCCUUCGGGUUGUUCUGCACUUUUGUCAGGUAAUAAAUCCUUUGGGCUAAUACCCUACGGGGAUGACCGUACCUGAAGAAUAAGCACCGGCUAACUACCUGCCAUCAUCCGCGGUAAUACGUAGGGUGCAAGCGUUAAUCGGAAUUACUGGUCGUAAAGCGUGCGCUAGCGGUUGUGUAAGACAGGUGCGAGAUCCCCGGGCUUAACCUGGCAAUUGAAUUUGUGACUGCACCACUAGAGUGUGUCAGAUGGGGGUGGAAUUCCACGAGUAGCAGUGAAAUGCGUAGAUCUGUGGAGGAACACUCAUGGUGAAGCGCGCCCGCUGGGAUAACACUGACGCUCAUGCAAGAAAGCGUGGCGAGCAAGCAGGAUUAGAUACGUUGGUAGUGCACUCCCUAAAGGAUGUCAACUAUAUUGUUGGGGAUUUACUUCCUUGGUAACGUAGCUCACGCGUGAAGUUGACUGCGUGGGGAGUUCGCCCGCAAGGUUAUAACUCAAAGGAAUGGACGGGGACCCGCACAAGCGGUGGAUGAUGUGGAUUAAUUGGAUGCAGCGCGAAAAACCUUACGUACCCUUGACAUGGCAGGAACUUUCCAGAGAUGGAUUGGUGUUGGAAAGAGAACUUGCACACAGGUGAUGCAUGUCUGUAGUCAGCUUGUGUCGUGAGAUGUUGGGUUAAGUCCCGCAACGAGCGCAACCCUUGUCAUUAGUUGCUAUGAAAGGGCACUUUAAUGAGACUGCCGGUGACAAACCGGAGGAAGGUGGGGAUGACGUCAAGUCCUCAUGGCCCUUAUGGGUAGGGCUUCACACGUCAUACAAUGGUCGGUACAGAGGGUUGCCAAGCCGCGAGGUGGAGCCAAUCCCAGAAAACCCGAUCGUAGUCCGGAUCGCAGUCUGCAACUCGACUGCGUGAAGUCGGAAUCGCUAGUAAUCGCGGAUCAGAAUGCCGCGGUGAAUACGUUCCCGGGUCUUGUACACACCGCCCGUCACACCAUGGGAGUGGGUUGUACCAGAAGUGGCUAGUCUAACCGCAAGGAGGACGGUCACCACGGUAGGAUUCAUGACUGGGGUGAAGUC